AUGUAGCUUAGUUGAUAAAGUGUUUGCUUCAAAUCCACAAAGCCCUGGGUUCAAUUCCCAGCAU
rnacentral:tRNA from 1 species